rnacentral:rRNA from 1 species
UACGAGAGGCCCAAACGUUAUUCGGAUUUACUGGGCUUAAAGAGUUCGUAGGCGGCUUGGAAAGUGGGGUGUGAAAGCCCUCGGCUCAACCGAGGAAUUGCGCUCCGAACUACCGAGCUUGAGUAGGCUAGAGGUGAGCAGAACUGAUGGUGGAGCGGUGAAAUGCUUAGAUAUCGUCAAGAACACCUAUUGCGAAGGCAGCUAACUAAGCUUUAACUGACGCUGAUGCACGAAAGUGUGGGGAUCAAACAGG